rnacentral:rRNA from 1 species
GUAGGGAAUCUUCCACAAUGGACGAAAGUCUGAUGGAGCAACGCCGCGUGAGUGAAGAAGGUCUUCGGGUUGUAAAGCACUUUUGUCCGGGAAGAAAUCUUCCAGGUUAAUACCCUGGGAGGCUGACGGUACCGGAAGAAUAAGCACCGGCUAACUACGUGCCAGCAGCCGCGGUAAUACGUAGGUGGCAAGCGUUGUCCGGAAUUAUUGGGCGUAAAGCGCGCGCAGGUGGGAUCUUAAGUCCAUUUUGAAAGUUCGGAGCUCAACUCCGUGAUGGGAUGGAAACUGGGAUUCUUGAGUACCGGAGAGGAAAGCGGAAUUCCCCGUGUAGCGGUGAAAUGCGUAGAUAUGGGGAGGAACACCAGUGGCGAAGGCGGCUUUCUGGACGGUGUCUGACACUGAGGCGCGAAAGCCAGGGGAGCGAACGGGAUUAGAUACCCGUGUAGUCU